rnacentral:rRNA from 1 species
UACGUAGGGUGCAAGCGUUGUCCGGAAUUAUUGGGCGUAAAGAGCUCGUAGGCGGUUUGUCGCGUCUGCUGUGAAAACUCGGGGCUUAACUCCGGGCCUGCAGUGGGUACGGGCAGACUAGAGUGCGGUAGGGGAGACUGGAAUUCCUGGUGUAGCGGUGAAAUGCGCAGAUAUCAGGAGGAACACCGGUGGCCAAGGCGGGUCUCUGGGCCGUAACUGACGCUGAGGAGCGAAAGCGUGGGGAGCGAACAGG